rnacentral:lncRNA from 1 species
AGUCAGUUAUGUGAUUCUGGAUAUUCUGUUACGUUUUCUUCUACUCAUUGUCAUGUGCAUGAUCAACAUUCAGGGAGGUUGAUUGGGAAAGGUCGUAGACAUGGGGGACUUUAUGUUCUGGAUGAGCUUAGAGUUCCAGAUACUGCAACCUCAACUUCUACUUCCAUUGAUUUAUCAUCUUUUCGUUUGAAUUCAUCAUCUUCUAACUUUUAUUUGUGGCAUUCUCGUCUUG